rnacentral:rRNA from 1 species
AAGUCGGAAUCGCUAGUAAUCGUAGAUCAGAAUGCUACGGUGAAUACGUUCCCGGGCCUUGUACACACCGCCCGUCACACCAUGGGAGUGGGUUGCAAAAGAAGUAGGUAGCUUAACCUUCGGGAGGGCGCUUACCACUUUGUGAUUCAUGACUGGGGUGAAGUCGUAACAAGGUAACCGUAGGGGAACCUGC